AGAUACCCAUGACCAACCUUAUUAUACACUUACCCAAUUACCCAGCCUAGUAAGUCGGAGGGCAAAGGAACACUCGCACACAUUCGAGCAUGCACGCUCACGCUGUCCGGUUCAUCGGGAGGCAAGAGGGGUCGUCAAGUGCGUGGGGAGUGUGAAAGGAUAUUGACAAAGUGCAUCAAGUUUGUAUCCAGGCUUGGCUUAUGCCCAGCUGGCUUUGGACCAUGAUGCAGGUGCCACAUGAGAUCACUGGCCAAAUUCGUACAGCCCCCAGCGAACCCAUAUCGCUGUCCGGCUACUGUGAGGCUCCACAACAGCCCCGGGGAGCAAUCGAGAGGUCCAACCUGGACGUGUAACCUGAGUGCAACUCUUGUGUAUCGUGCAAGGAUGUUGAAAAGAGGAGGGGAAAGUGGAGGAUAUGUUGCACACGGGCAACUUGGCAGUGUGUGUGUGUUUGUGUAUGUGUGUGUGUGUGCGCGCGUGUGCGUGUGUGAGCGCGUGUGACCGGCUCCUGCAGCUUGAGUAUUAUAAAUUCUGUCGAUAAAUUUUAAGACUGACAAGACAGAUGAUUGCAACACUGUUGAAUGCAGACUGCUUCCAUUUUAUUUUUUUGCACUGGAGACAAAAUUUUAUCCACAUACUCAGGAGUUACAUAUAAUAUGACAAAACUGACACUGAUGAAUGCAAAUAAUUAGAUAAUUCCACUAAUAACAAGGCAUGGGCAUGUUGAAUAUGGGCGUACCUUACUAGUGCUUACUUAGUAGACAUGCUAGUGACGGAAGAAUGAGGCUUCAAAGUGGUUCAUGAACCAGUUGUGUUUAUCGAGCCCUCUAAAUGGCACUCGGUUUAACAUAGGGCACAAAGUACUCUGACUCACCCUUUCUUAAACUAAUUUUUUUAACCAACAGUGCCAUCUGGAGGAGUCGAAAAAACAACCGGUUCAUGAAGCAUACUCGAAGCUUCAUUUUCCCGUCACUAUGAGAUACUCGAUUGUCGAUUAAUUUAAUGCAUGCAUUUUUUUCUGUUUAAAAGAUCUGUUUUCAUAUGUUUCAAUUUGUUUGACACUGUCUAAAGAGACAACACAAAUUUUAAAUGUUUAAAGAUGGUCUCUGCAUAGUGCAGUUUAUAUUGUGGGUGGGUCUGGAAAAUAUCCCCCUUGAUAAAUAUGGAUUCUUACUUCCCCCCCACUACUAAAACCCGCCAAAUGACUGACACCAAUGAAUGCAGAUGCUAAUAUACUGUAUUCUAUAUGCUUGUUGUUAUAACUUUUACACGUGCGCCAAGGUACGGAUUGCGUUACAAUUAAACGAUCUUAACAAGG